rnacentral:misc_RNA from 1 species
GUGAAGAACGUAGCGAAAUGCGAUAAGUAAUGUGAAUUGCAGAAUUCAGUGAAUCAUCGAAUCUUUGAACGCACAUUGCGCCCUCUGGUAUUCCGGGGGGCAUGCCUGUUCGAGCGUCAUUACAACCCUCAAGCUUUGCUUGGUAUUGGACAUUGCCAGUUUCUGGCAGGUCUUAAAAUCAGUGGCGGUGCCAUUUGGCUUCAAGCGUAGUAAUUCUUCUCGCUUUGGAGAUCCAAGUGGUUACUUGCCAAUAACCCCCAAUUUUUUCAGGUUGACCUCGGAUCAGGUAGGGAUACCCGCUGAACUUAAGCAUAUCAAUAAGCGGAGGA